ACCCGAGCCUGCGCCCCGCGCCGCACGCCACGCCGCCCGCCUCGGCUCCGCUGCUCCUGCCCCUUUCGCGGGCCCGCGAGCGCGCUUCGGGCCUUCCACGCAGUGCGGCCUGCGCGUCAGGGACUUCUUUGCGGCUUAGGAGGAUGUUGGUUUGUUUUUCCUGGGCACGUCUAGACAGGUCACCUGAGGACACUCGCUGGAAAAUAGUUACUUCGCUCACGCAGCAGCCAACAAGGGACGUGCCCUAAUUGAGUGGAAUGAAAGAUGAAUACAAUUUGAAUAAUUUUUUCCUGUGCAGAGGGAAGCUGAGUUUUAUUUGCCUGUGGAUGUGUCCUCAGUAUGUAGCAAGGUGCUGUGACACGGAAGAAUCACAUAAAGGCGUACUGCACGAGGAAGUUCCUUCUUCAGGCAACUUCUUGAAAACGGAUAAACUUCUAGGAUUUUUGUGAUUCAUUCAUUCAUUGUUAGUGCAAGAAACAGGACUGGGAAGCGUCAAGUGUCCUUUAAAGGAAGACAGAGAAACCAAGAGGCCCAAAUCUAAGGUAUUUGAUCAAAGUCAAAAGUCUGUGUCAAGAGAGCUGAGUGUGCUUACGUAAAAGAACUUUGGAAAUGAGAAAUCAACUGGUACGUUUCAGAGAUUUUCAGAAAAGUCAAGAUGGAAUAGAAGCACCCUUUGAAAGCGUAUUCUUAAUAGACCUGCAUUUAAAAAGAUUUUUUAGAGGUUAAACUUUGACGCUUUGAUAUAAAGCAUAAGUAGAACCAACCAGAAAAGAAUUUCGCCUAAAUAUGCCAUCAAGUCCCCUUCAGGAAAUGGCAUGCUGAUGCUUGUCAGCUGAGGUGGGUGGCUGGGUGUUUAUCCUCUAAACACCCCAUGUGGUCAAUUAGGAACAGCACUGACAGUACCUUUAGAUUUCAGUCUACAAGUCUUUUCAUUUUUUCUCUUGCCCCUUUAUAAUGCUUUUUGCCAGCUUAAAAGACUAAUGCCUCAGACACACUGAUGCAAUGAGACGCUAAUAUCAUAUUGCAUCAUCCGAUCCUAGGUGUGGUGCUCCUGAAACUGGUUUUUCUUGAGGUUAUGCUGCAGUAGAAAAGCACUUUGGGUAUAACACCCUGGAACUGGCCCUACUUGUCAGAUGACAAAAGUAAUUUUUGCAACUCCAUGCCUCAAUUCCACACCACUGUUCUCCCAGGGAAAGCCUGCGUGACUCUCCCGGCUGGAAUUGGGUGUGCAACAGACAUUCAUCAGUUAGGCGUGUCGUGCUGCCACUUAUGUAACAAAUGUUACAUAGCGAGGUGCACCUACAGGCAAGCUGAAGAUGACACUUCCUCCUUCAAACUGUGCUUGGAAUUUCACCUCGCUUUUAAUUGAGCAACUUCUCCAGGGACAGGAUGGUUUGGUGCAAAACUGGGAGAGGGCUACAAUCUACUCGGCUUGCUGCUGCCUGCGCCGCGGACUGCCUGGGACUGCCGGCGCCCGCCACCGCUGCCUGCCUUUUCUCCUUUGGAUGCAGGCACGCGUUCGCCAUCUUGGCCACGCUGGUCGCCAGCUCCUGACGCCGAGUGCUCUGCCCGCCUCAGCCUCCCGAGGUACUGGGACUACAGACGGAGUCUCGCUCACCCAGUGCUCGGUGUUGCCCGGGCUGGAGGGCGGUGGCGUGGUCUGGCCUCGCGGCAGCCUCUACCCCCCGGCCGCCUGCCUUGGCCUGCCAGGGUGCUGGGAUUGCAGCCCCUGCCCGGCCGCCGCCCCAUCUGGAAGGUGGGGAGCGCCUCUGCCCCGCCGCCCCGUCUGGGAGGUGAGGAGCGCCUCUGCCCGGCCGCCCCAUCUGGGAAGUGAGGAGCGCCUCUGCCCGGCCACCCACCGUCUGGGAAGUGAGGAGCGCCUCUGCCCGGCCGCCCCGUCUGGGAAGUGAGGAGCGCCUCUGCCCGGCCACCCACCGUCUGGGAAGUGAGGAGCGCCUCUGCCCGGCCGCCCCGUCUGGGAAGUGAGGAGUGCCUCUGCCCGGCCACCCAUCGUCUGGGAAGUGAGGAGCGCCUCUGCCCGGCCACCCAUCGUCUGGGAAGUGAGGAGCGCCUCUGCCCGGCCACCCUGUCUGGGAAGUGAGGAGCACCUCUGCCCGGCUGCCCCGUCUGGGAAGUGAGGAGCACCUCUGCCCGGCCACCCAUCGUCUGGGAAGUGAGGAGCGCCUCUGCCCGGCCUCCCAUCGUGUGGGAGGUGAGGAGCGCCUCUGCCCGGCCGCCCCGUCCGGGAGGAAGUGAGGAGCGCCUCUGCCCGGCCGCCCCGUCCAGGAAGAAGUGAGGAGCGCCUCUGCCCGGCCGCCCCGCCCGGGAAGAGGUGAGGAGCGCCUCUGCCCGGCCGCCCCGUCCGGGAAGAGGUGAGGAGCGCCUCUGCCCGGCCGCCCCGUCCGGGAAGAGGUGAGGAGCGCCUCUGCCCGGGCGCCCCGUCCGGGAGGAAGUGAGGAGCGCCUCUGCCCGGCCGCCCCAUCCGGGAAGAAGUGAGGAGCGCCUCUGCCCGGCCACCCAUCAUCUGGGAAGUGAGGAGCGCCUCUGCCCGGCCACCCACCGUCUGGGAAGUGAGGAGCGCCUCUGCCCGGCCGCCCCGUCUGGGAAGUGAGGAGCGCCUCUGCCCGGCCGCCCCGUCUGGGAAGUGAGCAGCGCCUCUGCCCGGCCACCCCGUCCGGGAAGAAGUGAGGAGCGCCUCUGCCCGGGCGCCCCACCCAGGAAGAAGUGAGGAGCGCCUCUGCCCGGCCGCCCCGCCCGGGAAGAAGUGAGGAGCGCCUCUGCCCGGCCGCCCCGUCUGGGAAGUGAGGAGCGCCUCUGCCCGGCCAUCCACCGUCUGGGAAGUGAGGAGCGCCUCUGCCCGGCCACCCACCGUCUGGGAAGUGAGGAGCGCCUCUGCCCGGCCGCCCCGUCUGGGAAGUGAGGAGCGCCUCUGCCCGGCCACCCACCGUCUGGGAAGUGAGGAGCGCCUCUGCCCGGCCACCCACCGUCUGGGAAGUGAGGAGCGCCUCUGCCCGGCCACCCACCGUCUGGGAAGUGAGGAGCGCCUCUGCCCGGCCGCCCCGUCUGGGAAGUGAGGAGCGCCUCUGCCCGGCCACUCAUCGUCUGGGAAGUGAGGAUCGCCUCUGCCCGGCCACCCUGUCUGGGAAGUGAGGAGCGCCUCUGCCCGGCCGCCCUGUCUGGGAAGUGAGGAGCGCCUCUGCCCGGCCACCCAUCGUCUGGGAAGUGAGGAGCGCCUCUGCCCGGCCUCCCAUCGUCUGGGAGGUGAGGAGCGCCUCUGCCCGGCCGCCCCGUCCGGGAGGAAGUGAGGAGCGCCUCUGCCCGGCCGCCCCGUCCGGGAGGAAGUGAGGAGCGCCUCUGCCCGGCCGCCCCGUCCGGGAAGAAGUGAGGAGCGCCUCUGCCCGGCCGCCCCGUCCGGGAAGAAGUGAGGAGCGCCUCUGCCCGGCCGCCCCGUCGGGAAGAAGUGAGGAGCGCCUCUGCCCGGCCGCCCCGUCCGGGAAGAAGUGAGGAGCGCCUCUGCCCGGCCGCCCCGUCUGGGAGGUGAGGAGCGCCUCUGCCCCGCCACCCAUCGUCUGGAAAGUGAGGAGCGCCUCUGCCCGGCUGCCCCAUCUGGGAAGUGAGGAGUGCCUCUGCCCGGCCACCCAUCGUCUGGGAGGUGAGGAGCGCCUCUGCCCGGCCGCCCAUCGUCUGGGAAGUGAGGAGCGCCUCUGCCCGGCCACCCAUCGUCUGGGAAGUGGGGAGCGCCUCUGCCCGACCACCCAUCGUCUGGGAAGUGAGGAGCGCCUCUGCCCGGCCACCUAUCGUCUGGGAAGAAGUGAGGAGCGUCUCUGCCUGGCCGCCCCGUCUGGGAAGUGAGGAGCCCCUCUGCCCGGCCGCCCCGUGUCUGGGUAGAAGUGAGGAGCUCCUCUGCCUGGCCGCUCCGUCUGGGAGGUCUACCACGGAGGCCAGAAGCAAUGUGGGGGCUGGAUGUGGUGGCUCACGCCUGUGGUCCCGGCACUCUGGGGGGCGAGGCGGGUUGAUCACUUCGGGCUAGGAGUUCGAGACCAGUCUGGCCAACUUGGCGAAACAUGAAGAAUACAACAGACAAACCAACCAACCAACUCAGUGACAACAAAACAGGUCUACCCUGGAGUCAUACUCUAAUUUUUUCUAUUUUCCUCCCUUUCUGAUCCUUUAUCCCACUUUCUUUUUCUUCCUCUUCCUUCUCCCUCUUCUUUGUCAAAUAGAGGAUUGAGUUAUCACUGAUCCAUAUAAA